AACGGAUCGCGAGUAAGGCCCCUCCGAGCUUCGGUUCGGAGUUGUGGUCGGAAAGCGUUCGUAAGUCGCUCGCCUCGAACAUCCAUUCCCAAAACUCAAUUUCUUCUGCAUUGACGCCGCGGUCUUCGGACCGGUGAGCGUCGACGCUUUUUGACAACGGAAGUAGUGGUAGAUCGCGGAUUUGAGAAUCCUUAUUGAGGACUUUCUAUUUCGUCGACAGCAUGUCUGUUCGACGUAGGAUGAUUGUCACUCGAAAAGUUGUAGUAGUUAGAUCGUACCGCUCUGCUUGAGUUACAGACCUUGUAGUCAAGCGAGCGAAGGCAUGUGGGGGAUGCCUGGGCACACGGAGGCGAGGAAGGCCGUGGUAAGCUGCGAUAAGCCAGGGGGAGUGGCACACACGCAAUGAUCCCUGGAUGG
rnacentral:sRNA from 1 species